AAACCAUGAUUCGGGCAUUUUCUAAGUAACGCCUGAAAACGCUCCAAGGCUUCAUAGAAUGCUUCAUCAGCCCCUUGCCUGAAGGUUGAUAUCUCAAACUUCGCAAGCAU
rfam:Lupinus angustifolius cultivar Tanjil contig_19934, whole genome shotgun sequence.